GCCCCGGUAGCUCAGUAGGAUAGAGCAAUCGCCUCCUAAGCGAUAGGUCACAGGUUCGACUCCUGUUCGGGGCG
rnacentral:tRNA from 1 species